CUCGAAAGGAAGUCGUUGUGGAAUGCAUUGGCUUUGAAGCAAAGUUAUUCCACCCACUUAAUAUGACAAAAAUGAAUUAGGCCUUAACGGUACUUGGUCCGAUAUUUGUCUGUGGAUCCUAAGUGGAUUAACUUCGAUACUUUGCCGCUUGGCUUUCAGCUAACCCUUGCAGCCGACAUCUUCGCAUCGUUGGCUCUCCCCUAACACUUAACUUGAUUAGUUUCCGACUGGAGUUCCAUUGGCCACCUGCAGUUACCUUAUGGCAAACUGGCAGCAACUGGCCCACCAUCUCUGGCAAUAUUAAUUUCAAUAAAUCAACAAGUGCAUUUUUAAAAUGAAGAAAGUUUUGCACACUUUUCGAGGAAAGGAUGAAACUUCGUUUUCGACUGCAUACGAAAUGGCUGCUGGAAAAUCAAGCAGAAAAUAUUUGCCAAACUUUUCACAUUGAGCUGUGUUUACCUAAUGUAUUAAAAUGUUCCUCCAUUGAUGAGU
ensembl:ncRNA lncRNA:CR43661 long non-coding RNA:CR43661